AAGAUCCCAAUCAUCAAAUAGACCUCCUUUCCGAUCUUUAGAGCUAUAACCCUGCAUCAGGAGGGAAAAAGAUGGAAAUUUAGAAUAUAGCAAUUUUACAUUCUCUUUGGAUAAGCGUGUAUAUUGGAGAGGGGACCUUGACAUGGACAGGAAAAUCACUUUUUGACCACUGUAUAUAACUCCAUAGUUGUUCUGGCCUAUGUAGGCGUUGUAACAAGUACUACGCAUUAGCCGAAUGGAAAAACCACAGACAUGCAAUGUCAAGUUGAAGCUUCCCAAGCAAGCAUUUUUUAUUAUUUUUCUGCAGGAUGUUUAAUUACUUUCUUUUUUUCGAUCCACUGGAGGUACAAUUAGCCAAGUAACAAUUGGGAGGCUAGACAGCGAGAGAUGACCCUCUCCCUUUAACAACUCUCUCUAUAAAAGUAAUAGAUCCCAGAAUGGGUAGAUGGGACCUUCUCACUCCUUGCAACUUUAAAGAUGGAGGAAGGCCAAAAUAGCCGCCCACUAACUGGCAUGUAAUGAAUCCAGUUAAUAUUAUGUAUUAGGCUAAAAUGAUUAUGAUUUUAGGAACUAGAUAAUGUAUAUUCUAACACUGACCAAUUGGGUAAAAGUAUUAAUUAACCUGCACAGAGUUACAGUGGUUAACAUGAAGCCUGCACAAUGAUGAAGUUACUGUACUGAACAUGGUAAUUCAAAACAUUCACAAGCAUUUGAUCCAAACCUUCAAAAUAUCAUCUUCCAACUUUUGUAUCAACUUUUGUUGUUCAUUAACUUUUGCAGUAAGCUCUGCU
rnacentral:misc_RNA from 1 species